rnacentral:rRNA from 1 species
UUUUUUUUUUUUUUUUUUUUUACUUUCCCAUCCAGUGCAAACCUAAGAGAUUAGGUGUUCCCUUCGGGGACGCUGAGACAGGUGGUGCAUGGCUGUCGUCAGCUCGUGUCGUGAGAUGUUGGGUUAAGUCCCGCAACGAGCGCAACCCUUGUCAUUAGUUGCCAUCAUUAAGUUGGGCACUCUAAUGAGACUGCCGGUGACAAACCGGAGGAAGGUGGGGAUGACGUCAAGUCAUCAUGCCCCUUAUGACCUGGGCUACACACGUG